AUGGGCUCCAGAUCUUUGCUCAAGGUUCUCGCCAAGAACUUCGAUGUUCUUGCAGGGCCUUUGGUUGCACUAGCUUAUCCUUUGUAUGCUUCAGUUAAGGCAAUUGAAACCAAAUCCUCUGUGGAUGAUCAGCAAUGGCUCACAUAUUGGGUGUUAUAUUCAUUAAUAACACUCUUCGAGCUGACAUUCACAUCAAUUAUUGAAUGGCUUCCCUUUUGGUCCUCCAUGAAGUUGAUCUUCAUUUCCUGGCUGGUCUUGCCCUACUUCAGUGGUGCAGCCUAUGUGUACCAAAAUUAUGUGAGGCCUGUGUUUGUUAGGAAUCAUAUGAUUAACAUUUGGUAUGUCCCUCAGAAAAAGGGUCUUUUCUGUAAUUCAGACGACUUCAUCACAGCACUUGAUAAGUACAUUGAAGAAAAUGGACCUGAAGCACUGAAGAAAUUGGCAGACAAGGUUGGCAAGUCAUCUACACAGUCUGGAAUUGUGGAAAGGGUUGAAAGAAUUAAAAUCGCUGAAGGAGUUUAA
rnacentral:rRNA from 1 species